UUUCUCAACUGCCCCAAAAAUCUCCACAGCAGCCGCCGUUAAACGUUCAUUUAAGAACACGCGCAACAUCUGUAAUGUAGACAUUUUCAGAACUGAGAGAUGACCAGGCCAUGGUGGAAGACACCAAAACAGGAGACUACUAUUGUGAACAUGGUGGUGGCAAACAAUACCAUUAGACUACGAGAAAUCCAGAACCACAUAAUUGCAGACAACACAAUAUUCAAUAACAUUCACCAGGUGGGCUUGUCUUCAUUGGACCGUGUACUACAGCGCAACCGAAUCCGGAUGAAACGGGUUAAAGAACAGCUCUAUGAAUAUGUGCAAAGUCUUGCAGCUGGAUGUCGCUGCAGUGCAGCACGUUUAUAUUUACAUAGAUGACGCUGGCUUCAACCUAGCCAAAAGACAGGGACCGAACAUUAUUGGCCACCGUGCCAUUGUGAAUGUCCCUGGACAGCGUGGAGGGAACAUCACCAUGUGUGCAGCCGUUAACCAGCAAGGCGUCCUCCAUCACCAUGCCAACCUUGGUCCCUACAACACCGCCUUUCUCAUCACAUUCCUGGACACACUACAUGGCGUCCUCAUUCCAGCCGAGCAGAGGGGUGGACCAGAGUAGCCCAGGUAUGUUGUCAUCUGGGACAACGAGAGUUUCCACCAGGCUGCUCUGGUCCGCAACUGGUUCAUCGACCAGCCACCAUUUAUUGUUCUAUACCUCCCAUCAUAUUCCCCAUUCCUAAACUCAAUUGGAGAGAUUUUUCCCGGCAUGGCGAUGGAAGGUGUAUGACCGCCAUCCCUUCGCACGCAUGCCUCUUCUCCUGGCAACGGAGGACGCAUGGUGGUGAAGUUGAGGUGGGGGCUUUCGGCGGCUGGAUCCGUCACUCCAGAAGAUUCUUUCCCCGCUGUUUAGCCAGGGAGAACUUCGAUGGUGAUGUAGAUGAGGUGCUGUGGCCAGACCAAAAUAGGAUGCAGUCUUUGUUCUUACAUUUACAUGUGUUUUUGUCUUUUUUGUGUUUAGUUUUGAAAGAAUGAGCCACUUUCAUUUUUUUUUAAAAUUGUACAGAAAACCCUUUAUGUUACUGAAUGUUUUUCCUGGUUUUCUCUUGUUGGAUAUGGAAAGUGUUACAUACAAAACACAAAUACUGCAUUUUGGAAAUAAAUGAAUGUUUUUGUUACUGUAUUGCAUUUGUGUGUUUAUUUAUGUAUACAUUACUGUAACAAUCUUUUACAACGGCUACAGUGUAACACAAAAGCAUAAACCUACUGAUGGAUAUUCAUAGUAGUGUUGAGCACAUCAGUGUGUUGUUGGUAGACAGAUCUACUCCUGUGUGUCAUUUUGAUGCUAAAAAAAGAGAACAGUUUUGAAUGCAGUGUUUGCUUUUGCUUGAGAUUUGUAGAGUUUGGGGUUUGUGCUUUGUGUUUAGAGUUUUUGGGGAAAUGGGCCAAAGAUUCAGCAAACGUGUGGAAAACUGUAAAACAAAAUUGAAAUCUCGGACAAAUGGAAAGAGUUCUUUUCUGGAAAGUCUAUAUUUUUUUUAUGUAUCAAUAACAGUCUGACCAUCACCCUGAGAGACAUUCCAAUACAAACACGUGGAAGAGGAGAAGUCCAGUGGCUAUAAGUUCCCAUACUUGCCCUCUACAAGAUCAUCACCAUCAUCUACCAUCCUCUGACCAGCUCUCUCCGCUCAAGCCAUGCACUGACCCUCUCCAUCUUCGGUGGAUGCAGUAUUCAAAGACUCGGCCUCUAUUGAUUGACCUGGGCUGAUAUAUUGCUUGUUUUUUUGUUGUUGCUCUUGAACCCCUUUAGA